rnacentral:lncRNA from 1 species
UCAAAUUGAGCUCAUAUUACUUAUAGCUAUCUAAAAUAAGAUAGCUAUUUUGGUGGUCUUUACAAGUCUCACACUCUAAAACAUAAAAAUAUAGAGAUUAAAAGAUUCUAGCGGAAUACUACUCUCAACUCUCAAAAGAUUCGAGCCUUCACUCCACUUGGGCAUUACUUUGCGACGUUGAACUUGGACUUACCUUUCAAUUUUUCCAUG